AGCGAACGCUGGCGGCAGGCCUAACACAUGCAAGUCGAACGAAGCCUCCGGACUUAGUGGCGGACGGGUGAGUAACACGUGGGAACGUACCUUUUGGUUCGGAACAACUCAGGGAAACUUGAGCUAAUACCGGAUGAGCCCUUAGGGGGAAAGAUUUAUCGCCGAAAGAGCGGCCCGCGUUAGAUUAGCUAGUUGGUGAGGUAAAGGCUCACCAAGGCUACGAUCUAUAGCUGGUCUGAGAGGAUGAUCAGCCACACUGGGACUGAGACACGGCCCAGACUCCUACGGGAGGCAGCAGUGGGGAAUCUUGCGCAAUGGGCGAAAGCCUGACGCAGCCAUGCCGCGUGAAUGAUGAAGGUCUUAGGAUUGUAAAAUUCUUUUACCAGGGACGAUAAUGACGGUACCUGGAGAAAAAGCCCCGGCUAACUUCGUGCCAGCAGCCGCCGUAAGAC
rnacentral:rRNA from 1 species